UAUGUGGUGCAAUAUAGGCCUUACAUGGCCAAAUAUUCGACCUGACUCCUGCCGCUGGUUGAGUGACUGUGGAAGCUUUUGUUUCAGGGGCCGAAAACCUCCGCGCGCCUCCGCCGCCUCUUGGCAACUGUCGCCAUUAAAGCCGGCAGUAAAAGGUGUGAGGAGAGUGAACAUCGAGGCUGCUGUCAAUGAGAGGACACUUUGACAUGCUGCAUCCUUUCCCGGUGAAUCCCCGGUGCAUCGGAGGGCCCUUUGAAACCAGCGCGGGGAUGGCUGACCCCGCCACAGAGCAUGAAGACUCAUAUGAUGGUGUCAAACAGUAUGAACAAAUGUUAUCUACAAAAUCAUCUACAAAGAGCGCCUGGCGGCCAUUUGGACUCGAUGCGGCACAGAUGACUUAACUCACUCUUGAUAGCGGAGGUAUAAAUCAUCAGCCAAUCAGUGUGGCGACCUUUGACCCUGCCCAGCUGUGUGGAGCGUGCCGCGCAGAGGCAGCACACGUCCACCCGACCUUCAUUACCCUUGCCGCCUCCUCCUCCUCCAUCAUCCUGCUUUCUUAUUCGGAUGAGCCGAUAAGCGGAAGCUUUUUAGAUGAAGUGAAGAGACACAGUUUGAGUUCUUUUAACAAGCGAGAAAGAUGGCUUCUUCCUUUUUCCUUUUAGAGAGCUUGUAUAUUCCGCCCUCCUCGUCACUCCUCUCACUCACUCCUCUUCAGUUUAUCUCCUUUUUUGUGUACUCUCAGUCAAAGCAGGUCAACGAGUUCAUAAGCUCGUUUGGUCAGUGAAGAAGAAAAAUUAAAGGAACGAGCUGGAGAGAGAGAGAGAGGAGCAUUUACUGUACUUUAACCCGACCAAAGGCUAGUCCUGUCAACAUUGAUCAUGGUCCAAUAUGUUGGGACCGGCCCCGAGGGACCACAUGUUCAGGAAGUAACAGGCCGAGCUUGGAAUUAGAGAAGAGGAAGGCCGGCACACUAUAUACGGGCUCAGGUCAGUCUUCACCAGUGAAAAUGCAUCUGUAACUGCUUGUAGAUACAUUUGGCUCCAUUAAUUCAUGUUUCUCUAAUGUUAUGUAGUAGUCUGGAUG